AAAUUGAAGAGUUUGAUCAUGGCUCAGAUUGAACGCUGGCGGCAGGCCUAACACAUGCAAGUCGAACGGUAGCACAGAGAGCUUGCUCUCGGGUGACGAGUGGCGGACGGGUGAGUAAUGUCUGGGAAACUGCCCGAUGGAGGGGGAUAACUACUGGAAACGGUAGCUAAUACCGCAUAACGUCGCAAGACCAAAGUGGGGGACCUUCGGGCCUCACACCAUCGGAUGUGCCCAGAUGGGAUUAGCUAGUAGGUGGGGUAACGGCUCACCUAGGCGACGAUCCCUAGCUGGUCUGAGAGGAUGACCAGCCACACUGGAACUGAGACACGGUCCAGACUCCUACGGGAGGCAGCAGUGGGGAAUAUUGCACAAUGGGCGCAAGCCUGAUGCAGCCAUGCCGCGUGUAUGAAGAAGGCCUUCGGGUUGUAAAGUACUUUCAGCGAGGAGGAAGGCGUUGUGGUUAAUAACCACAGCGAUUGACGUUACUCGCAGAAGAAGCACCGGCUAACUCCGUGCCAGCAGCCGCGGUAAUACGGAGGGUGCAAGCGUUAAUCGGAAUUACUGGGCGUAAAGCGCACGCAGGCGGUUUGUUAAGUCAGAUGUGAAAUCCCCGGGCUCAACCUGGGAACUGCAUUUGAAACUGGCAAGCUUGAGUCUCGUAGAGGGGGGUAGAAUUCCAGGUGUAGCGGUGAAAUGCGUAGAGAUCUGGAGGAAUACCGGUGGCGAAGGCGGCCCCCUGGACAAAGACUGACGCUCAGGUGCGAAAGCGUGGGGAGCAAACAGGAUUAGAUACCCUGGUAGUCCACGCCGUAAACGAUGUCUACUUGGAGGUUGUGCCCUUGAGGCGUGGCUUCCGGAGCUAACGCGUUAAGUAGACCGCCUGGGGAGUACGGCCGCAAGGUUAAAACUCAAAUGAAUUGACGGGGGCCCGCACAAGCGGUGGAGCAUGUGGUUUAAUUCGAUGCAACGCGAAGAACCUUACCUGGUCUUGACAUCCACGGAAGUUUUCAGAGAUGAGAAUGUGCCUUCGGGAACCGUGAGACAGGUGCUGCAUGGCUGUCGUCAGCUCGUGUUGUGAAAUGUUGGGUUAAGUCCCGCAACGAGCGCAACCCUUAUCCUUUGUUGCCAGCGGUUAGGCC
rnacentral:rRNA from 1 species